rnacentral:rRNA from 1 species
AUGCGUAGGGGGCGAGCGUUGUCCGGAAUGAUUGGGCGUAAAGGGCGCGUAGGCGGCCCGGUAAGUCUGGAGUGAAAGUCCUGUUUUUAAGAUGGGAAUUGCUUUGGAUACUGUCGGGCUUGAGUGCAGGAGAGGUAAGUGGAAUUCCCAGUGUAGCGGUGAAAUGCGUAGAGAUUGGGAGGAACACCAGUGGCGAAGGCGACUUACUGGACUGUAACUGACGCUGAGGCGCGAAAGUGUGGGGAGCAAACAGGAUUAGAUACCCUGGUAGUCCACACUGUAAACGAUGAAUGCUAGGUGUAGGGGGUAUCGACCCCUUCUGUGCCGCGGUCAACACAAUAAGCAUUCCGCCUGGGGAGUACGGCCGCAAGGUUGAAACUCAAAUGAAUUGACGGG